GUCCACGCCGUAAACGAUGUCGACUAGCCGUUGGAGACCUUAGAGUCUUUAGUGGCGCAGCUAACGCAUUAAGUCGACCGCCUGGGGAGUACGGCCGCAAGGUUAAAACUCAAAUGAAUUGACGGGGGCCCGCACAAGCGGUGGAGCAUGUGGUUUAAUUCGAUGCAACGCGAAGAACCUUACCGCCCCUUGACAUCCUGGGAACUCGCUAGAGAUAGCUUGGUGCCGAAAGGAACCCAGAGACAGGUGCUGCAUGGCUGUCGU
rnacentral:rRNA from 1 species